ACCAGCCCACUAUCUCCUUGACAGGAAUUCCUAUUAAGAGGGCUGCCAUUAGUCCAAGACACGUAGCUAUCUGAAUGAAGCUUCCAUAUGUUCCCCUCACAAAUGCAGGAGAGACCUCAGUGACAUAGAGAGAAGCAACAGGAGGGCCUAGACCCAUUCCAAUCCCAACAAACAGUCGUCCCAAAAGCAUCCCAGCCAGAGUUUUGGUUAUUGCACUCAUUCCAGCACCAAGAAUCAUUGGCAAAGCACUCAGUUGAAAAGCCCUACGACGCCCGACCCCAUCGGCUACCCAACCACUCAGUAAAGAUCCAAUUA
rnacentral:misc_RNA from 1 species